CAAGUGGUUCUUCCCAUUCUAUUUUUGAAAAUUUUAAGAGCUUUAUAACGUGUCUGAAAAAUGUGUUUUGCAAUGGAUAUCUCAAGGUAAAUGUACCUUUUAACUAAUAAAAAAUGGACUUGUGGAUGUUUGACUAUCAUGGAUAUAAGGAUUGGUUUUGCACUAUGUAGUACUGGCGCUUCGUUGAUAACAGUAUGUCCAACACUGAUAUAUGCGGUUACAUUCAAAAGGUUCCAUUUUCUAAAAAAUAUUACCGAUGGUGUCUACGUGUCAGUGUCAUGUCAGGUUUUGUGUUUGUGCUUCAUAGGUUUUG
rnacentral:lncRNA from 1 species